rnacentral:lncRNA from 1 species
CGGAAAGCGAGUACACGUUCGAAAGCAGGUGGAUGGAAGUGAUCCGCAGUGCCACCAGCUCUGCCUCGCGACCCCACGUGUUGAGCCACAAAGAGUCUCUCGUGUAUUGAUGGCCGGACACACUCGUUUCCACAGUGGCUGCUUUCCUGGAAGACGUUUCCUUUCUUCUGUAUUAAUGAAGCCUGGUAAAAUUAACACCUGUCUGAAAAUCAAAAACAUGGCUUCGCAGCAGCUCUCCUGUCUCCACAGCCGCGUUUCUUAACCCCGACCUCUCAGCGUCUGAAUGAACAGCGCUCCCACCUCCAGUCCUGGCAUCCGCUGGGGGCGCUGUUCUUUAGCUAGUGCCAGUAUUAAAACAUUGUCAUUACGAGAGUGCCAAAUGACACCUUCCCUCCACCCUGCCCCUGAAAAACAGUACACACACAUCCGUUCAACACAAGACAGGGCAAGUGUUUUUCUUCCUAAAAAAAAGUUCUUUUAUUAUUUUCACCUAUUGGCUGCUGCAUUUUACGAAGUGGAUUUCCCGGUGUUUGCAAUACACUCAGUGCAGCCUUAAGCAAAUGAGAUCAUUUUCAGAUUUCGUUUUUUUCAGUCUUUCUACUUUUGUAAUAAUAGGAAGUUAGUAGGACUCACUUCUCUGAUUAAUAAGCAAUUUGCAGCACACAGCGUUCCACUGCGGGGUUUCACGCUCACCUGAAAACACCUGUUCCCGACCUACUUCUUGGUGCAAGUUGACCAAAUCGUUUUAAGUGGUAACUCUUUCCAACCGCAGCAGGGUUGUUUUCUGUUAAGCAAAGCCGAGAUCCAGUGCAAUACCUGGACUGUCACCGUCCUGUGAGUGGUGUACACAAUGGGAAGAUAAUAAGCCGUGGUGUUUUGCUGUCUGUGUCACAAGCAUGAAAACCCGUGUGUCACUGAUCAGCACCAUUUGUGGUAUGUUCCGUGAUGAGCGUUUAGUGAGCGUGCUGGCUGCAGAGCACUAUGAAAUCAUGGUACGUAGUCCCCAGCACCUGUCGUUAUUCCUAUAUCCUCCUGCAACUGUGGUUUGAAACUGCGCAUUCUCUAGUAGUAUAUAUCGUGCCUGUCUUCAAAAACAUUUACCUUUUUAUACUCAUUCCCCCCAGGCAUGGGGUAGUGUCAGUCGGACUGCACAGGGAACACGGUUUCCAGUGGCUUUGGCCCCUGCUCGGGAAACGUCUGCCUGUUCUCGAUGGUGAUGGGGUGGCUGCCAUUCCCUUGGUUUUCCUAAGCCCUUUCUAACAAGAGUCUCAAACAAGCGGAGGCGACGGCCAAUUCAACCCAAUUCUUUCCAGCGCCCCGCACCAUAGCACCUGCCCACCUGAGAACCAGGAACGCGCCCUCUCUGUGGAGCUCUGACUGGUGUACCUGGAAACAGCAACUUGCAAACGGACGAAGAGCCUGACAUGUGUUAAUCAUUUGCCUUACAAGAUGUACCAGACAGUUUCCAGUACUAACAAAGGGAAUAAAAAUACCUCACGCCACAAUCCAGCAUAUUGAUGUUUUAAGGCAAA